GAUGAACGCUAGCGGCGGGCUUAAUACAUGCAAGUCAAGGGGUAGCAAUACACCGGCGUACGGGUGCGUAACGCGCAUGGAACCUGCCCUUAUCUGGGGGAUAACUCGGGGAAACUCGAGCUAAUACCGCAUAAGAUAGUAGAGAGGCAUCUCUUCGCUAUUAACGAUAUAUCGGAUAAGGAUGGCCAUGCGUAAGAUUAGAUAGUUGGCGGGGUAACGGCUCACCAAGGCUACGAUCUUUAGGGGCUCUGAGAGGAGAAUCCCCCACACUGGCACUGAGAUACGGGCCAGACGCCUACGGGAGGCAGCAGUAGGGAAUAUUGGACAAUGGGCGGAAGUCUGACCCAGCCACGCCGCGGGCAGGAAGACGGCCCUGUGGGUUGUAAACUGCUUUUAACUGGGAAGAAAGCAGCUCAUGCGUGAGAAUUUGACGGUACCAGUUGAAUAAGUCACGGCUAACUACGUGCCAGCCGCCGCCGUAAGAC
rnacentral:rRNA from 1 species